UUCUUGUUUUAUUUUUCAGAAUGACAGUUGAUAUUCCAGUCUUAUAUCUGAACUUAGCUCAUCAUCAAAACUGCCCACUUUUAUCUCUGCACCAAAGACUCACUCAGAAAGGAUACAGCAUGCCAUGCUGCUUCUGUGGAGCUUGGCGUGGAAAAAUUCUUCGUCAUUUGAAGAAUGUGCUCAAGAUGCUGUGACAGAUUUGCAGGAAUUCUUCCGAAGCCAAGACCAACAGCCAAGGGAUGACACUGCCCACAGUGAGCAGGCCAUUUCUACAAACAUCAAUCAAGAAAAUGCACUAUAGGCUUGCCCACAUGCCAGUAUAGUGGGACUAUUUUCUCAACUGAGUCUCCCUCUUCCAAAAUGCCUCAGUUUAUAAAAAGUUGACAUAAAUCUAGCCAGCACAAACAAUACCUAGAAAGUGAAGUUGUCAAAUUUGGUACUUUAAUAUCAACGACAUAUUGAAAUCAAGAGUGAGAAAUAAAAUUUUCCUCAGAAUGA